rnacentral:tRNA from 1 species
GAAGAGGUGGCCGAGUGGUCCAAGGCGCCGCAUCCCAAUGAUCUUUGUUUGAUUCCUCUUGGAUUCAAAAACUGCGGUCUGUUCCAAGAACAGUCGUGGGUUCAAAUCCCUCCCUCUUCC